UAAUACAAGAAUAGUCUUUAAUUUAAAAAAUACAAUUGCAAGUUACAACUAUUUUAUAUUUUCAUUUAAGUAAACCAAUCAGUUUGAAGAUAAAUAUGGUUAUCCAGCUCAUUUAAAACAUCCAAUUAGAUACCUUCUCCUAAAAUGAUCUUGAUCAAACCCAACUAAUACAUUUUUAAAACGCAAGAAGUCCUUUGGCAAAUUAAUCUUAAAAGAAAAUUUUAAAUGUAAAGAAUAAUACAUUUUUAAAAAGGGAGAAGUCCUUUGGCAAAUUAAUCUUAAAAGAAUAUUUUAAAUGUAAAGAAUAAUACAUUUUUAAAAAGCGAGAAGUCCUUUGGCAAAUUAAUCUUAAAAGAAUAUUUUAAAUGUAAAGAUUCAAACAUUGUACUUAAAUACAGCUCAUUGUUUAUGUAAAUAUUAAUGUAUAUAAAAUAAAAAUAAUGAAUAAAUAUAUAUGGUUUAUUAAAAAAAAUUACAGCACAUACUUCAAUAGCCAAAUAGUUGCUUUCUCAAUGCCAAAGACUGCAAAGAUGUACAUAUGACAAUAUAUUAUAUACCUCAUGACUAGAUUCAUAUUCUUAUUUUUAUGUUAAACUUCUUUUUCAAUAUGUAAUUGAACAUUUGAAG
rnacentral:lncRNA from 1 species